rnacentral:rRNA from 1 species
ACGGAGGAUGCAAGCGUUAUCCGGAUUCAUUGGGUUUAAAGGGUGCGCAGGCGGAAUGAUAAGUGAGUGGUCAAAGAAGAAGGAAGAAAAGGGAAACUGCCAUUGAUACUGUCGUUCUUGAGUACUGUUGAAGUGGGCGGAAUGUGUCAUGUAGCGGUGAAAUGCUUAGAUAUGCCACAGAACACCGAUAGUGAAGACGGCUCACUAAGCUGUAACUGACGCUCAUGCACGAAAGCGUGGGGAUCAAACAG